AUUGAACGCUGGCGGCAGGCCUAACACAUGCAAGUCGAGCGAGCGGCGGACGGGUGCGUAAUGUAUGGGGACUGCCCGAUAGAGGGGGAUAACUUCUGGAAACGGUAGCUAAUACCGCAUACUAUCGGAUAACCCAUAUGGGUUUAGCUAGUAGGUGAGGUAAUGGCCCGCCGAGGCGACGAUCCCUAGCUGGUCUGAGAGGAUGAUCAGCCAAACUGGAGCUGAGACACGGCCCUGACUCCUACGGAGGCAGCAGUAGGGAAUAUUGCACAAUGGGCGCAAGCCUGAUGCAGACAUGCCGCGUGUAUGAGGAUGGCCCUAGGGUUGUAAAAUACUUUCAGUCGGGAGACGUUACCGACAGAAGAAGCACCGGCUAACUCCGUGCCAGCAGCCGCGGUAAUUC
rnacentral:rRNA from 1 species